rnacentral:rRNA from 1 species
GACGUAGGGUGCGAGCGUUGUCCGGAUUUAUUGGGCGUAAAGAGCUCGUAGGCGGCUCGUCGCGUCGACCGUGAAAACUUGGGGCUUAACCCUAAGCUUGCGGUUGAUACGGGCGGGCUAGAGUUCGGUAGGGGAGACUGGAAUUCCUGGUGUAGCGGUGAAAUGCGCAGAUAUCAGGAGGAACACCGGUGGCGAAGGCGGCAUCCUGGACCAACACUGACGCUGAGGAGCGAAAGCCAGGGGAGCAAACGGG